rnacentral:lncRNA from 1 species
AUGUCAGAGCUUGGUAAAGAUACCUCCUGUGAGCAGAGGUGGUCAGGAGUCCCCGGGCUGGUCCUCAGUCCCUACAGAAACAUGGUGGGCCCAGUACACCAGGUCGGCCACGUAAAUCAGCAGGUUGAUGGCUGUCAGGAUGGCCACAGCCAGUCGCUGGUCCCAGACGCAUACAUAGUUGGUAAGUCUAUGUUGACAGCUCACAUCCCUGGACCUCUCGGGCUGCCCACCAAACUUUUCAUCAAAUUGGUAGAGUGGCCAGAGGACCAGAGCACCAAUGUAGAGAAGGACAGACAGCAGGCUCAGCACCAGAUGGAACAUGGAGGAGGAGAUGGGCAGCCAGUUCUCAUAGUUAGCCAGGUUCAACAGGAUGGUCACGAUCCCCAGGAUGAAGCAGAUGGAGUACACGGCCACGCACGACACCAGCAAUGGAUGGUCCAUGUACAGGACACUGGGCUGCACUCUGAGAAGUUCCUGUUGCUCCCCUGACCAUCAUGUGGCCAGAGAAAUUGGUCCUUUUUCACGUUUAGGUGAUUCAGUUCCGUUCAGUCGCUCAGUGGUGUCCAACUCUGCGACCCCAUGAAUCGCAGCACGCCAGGCCUCCCUGCCUGUCCAUCACCAACUCCCGGAGUUCACUCAAACUCAUGUCCAUCGAGUCGGUGAUGCCAUCCAGCCAUCUCGUUCUCCGCCGUUCCCUUCUCCUCCUGCCCCUAAUCCCUCCCAGCAUCAGAGUCUUUUCCAAUGAGUCAACUCUUCGCAUGAUUACAAUGUGUUCAAUAAACUUCUGGAUCAUCUAUCCGACA